AUGGAGGAAACAGGAGCGGAGAUCAGAGAAUUUCUACGGUGGGAGCUCGGUGAUGGUUUUGGAACUGAGGCUAACGAUUCAGUAACGGUAACAAACUUUUCCGCUACGGUUAAAUUGCUUGUUGUGAUUGUGGUGUUAGGGGGUGUUUUGAUGACUCUAGAGAUGCAAAAGCGAAUAUCAGAAACUGAAAUAGAAACUGAAAUGGCGAAACGAGAAGGAAGGAAAUAG